AAGCUUGCUUCUCUGAUGUUAGCGGCGGACGGGUGAGUAACACGUGGAUAACCUACCUAUAAGACUGGGAUAACUUCGGGAAACCGGAGCUAAUACCGGAUAAUAUUUUGAACCGCAUGGUUCAAAAGUGAAAGACGGUCUUGCUGUCACUUAUAGAUGGAUCCGCGCUGCAUUAGCUAGUUGGUAAGGUAACGGCUUACCAAGGCAACGAUGCAUAGCCGACCUGAGAGGGUGAUCGGCCACACUGGAACUGAGACACGGUCCAGACUCCUACGGGAGGCAGCAGUAGGGAAUCUUCCGCAAUGGGCGAAAGCCUGACGGAGCAACGCCGCGUGAGUGAUGAAGGUCUUCGGAUCGUAAAACUCUGUUAUUAGGGAAGAACAUAUGUGUAAGUAACUGUGCACAUCUUGACGGUACCUAAUCAGAAAGCCACGGCUAACUACGUGCCAGCAGCCGCGGUAAUACGUAGGUGGCAAGCGUUAUCCGGAAUUAUUGGGCGUAAAGCGCGCGUAGGCGGUUUUUUAAGUCUGAUGUGAAAGCCCACGGCUCAACCGUGGAGGGUCAUUGGAAACUGGAAAACUUGAGUGCAGAAGAGGAAAGUGGAAUUCCAUGUGUAGCGGUGAAAUGCGCAGAGAUAUGGAGGAACACCAGUGGCGAAGGCGACUUUCUGGUCUGUAACUGACGCUGAUGUGCGAAAGCGUGGGGAUCAAACAGGAUUAGAUACCCUGGUAGUCCACGCCGUAAACGAUGAGUGCUAAGUGUUAGGGGGUUUCCGCCCCUUAGUGCUGCAGCUAACGCAUUAAGCACUCCGCCUGGGGAGUACGACCGCAAGGUUGAAACUCAAAGGAAUUGACGGGGACCCGCACAAGCGGUGGAGCAUGUGGUUUAAUUCGAAGCAA
rnacentral:rRNA from 1 species